rnacentral:rRNA from 2 species
UUAAGCGACUAAGCGUACACGGUGGAUGCCCUGGCAGUCAGAGGCGAUGAAGGACGUGCUAAUCUGCGAAAAGCGCCGGCGAGGUGAUAUGAACCUUUGACCCGGCGAUGUCCGAAUGGGGAAACCCAGUGUGAUUCGUCACACUAUCGUUAACUGAAUACAUAGGUUAACGAGGCGAACCGGGGGAACUGAAACAUCUAAGUACCCCGAGGAAAAGAAAUCAACCGAGAUUCCCCCAGUAGCGGCGAGCGAACGGGGAGCAGCCCAGAGUCUGAAUCAGCUUGUGUGUUAGUGGAAGCGUCUGGAAAGUCGCACGGUACAGGGUGACAGUCCCGUACACGAAAAUGCACAGGUUGUGAACUCGAAGAGUAGGGCGGGACACGUGGUAUCCUGUCUGAAUAUGGGGGGACCAUCCUCCAAGGCUAAAUACUCCUGACUGACCGAUAGUGAACCAGUACCGUGAGGGAAAGGCGAAAAGAACCCCGGCGAGGGGAGUGAAAAAGAACCUGAAACCGUGUACGUACAAGCAGUGGGAGCACCUUCGUGGUGUGACUGCGUACCUUUUGUAUAAUGGGUCAGCGACUUAUAUUCUGUAGCAAGGUUAACCGUAUAGGGGAGCCGAAGGGAAACCGAGUCUUAACUGGGCGUUAAGUUGCAGGGUAUAGACCCGAAACCCGGUGAUCUAGCCAUGGGCAGGUUGAAGGUUGGGUAACACUAACUGGAGGACCGAACCGACUAAUGUUGAAAAAUUAGCGGAUGACUUGUGGCUGGGGGUGAAAGGCCAAUCAAACCGGGAGAUAGCUGGUUCUCCCCGAAAGCUAUUUAGGUAGCGCCUCGUGAACUCAUCUUCGGGGGUAGAGCACUGUUUCGGCUAGGGGGCCAUCCCGGCUUACCAACCCGAUGCAAACUACGAAUACCGAAGAAUGUUAUCACGGGAGACACACGGCGGGUGCUAACGUCCGUCGUGAAGAGGGAAACAACCCAGACCGCCAGCUAAGGUCCCAAAGUCAUGGUUAAGUGGGAAACGAUGUGGGAAGGCACAGACAGCCAGGAUGUUGGCUUAGAAGCAGCCAUCAUUUAAAGAAAGCGUAAUAGCUCACUGGUCGAGUCGGCCUGCGCGGAAGAUGUAACGGGGCUAAACCAUGCACCGAAGCUGCGGCAGCGACGCUUAUGCGUUGUUGGGUAGGGGAGCGUUCUGUAAGCCGUUGAAGGUGUGCUGUGAGGCAUGCUGGAGGUAUCAGAAGUGCGAAUGCUGACAUAAGUAACGAUAAAGCGGGUGAAAAGCCCGCUCGCCGGAAGACCAAGGGUUCCUGUCCAACGUUAAUCGGGGCAGGGUGAGUCGACCCCUAAGGCGAGGCCGAAAGGCGUAGUCGAUGGGAAACAGGUUAAUAUUCCUGUACUUGGUGUUACUGCGAAGGGGGGACGGAGAAGGCUAUGUUAGCCGGGCGACGGUUGUCCCGGUUUAAGCAUGUAGGCGGAGGUUCCAGGUAAAUCCGGUACCUUAUUAACGCUGAGGUGUGAUGACGAGGCACUACGGUGCUGAAGUAACAAAUGCCCUGCUUCCAGGAAAAGCCUCUAAGCAUCAGGUAACAUCAAAUCGUACCCCAAACCGACACAGGUGGUCAGGUAGAGAAUACCAAGGCGCUUGAGAGAACUCGGGUGAAGGAACUAGGCAAAAUGGUGCCGUAACUUCGGGAGAAGGCACGCUGAUAUGUAGGUGAAGCCCCUGCGGGUGGAGCUGAAAUCAGUCGAAGAUACCAGCUGGCUGCAACUGUUUAUUAAAAACACAGCACUGUGCAAACACGAAAGUGGACGUAUACGGUGUGACGCCUGCCCGGUGCCGGAAGGUUAAUUGAUGGGGUUAGCGGCAACGCGAAGCUCUUGAUCGAAGCCCCGGUAAACGGCGGCCGUAACUAUAACGGUCCUAAGGUAGCGAAAUUCCUUGUCGGGUAAGUUCCGACCUGCACGAAUGGCGUAAUGAUGGCCAGGCUGUCUCCACCCGAGACUCAGUGAAAUUGAACUCGCUGUGAAGAUGCAGUGUACCCGCGGCAAGACGGAAAGACCCCGUGAACCUUUACUAUAGCUUGACACUGAACACUGGUCCUUGAUGUGUAGGAUAGGUGGGAGGCUUUGAAGCGUGGACGCCAGUCUGCGUGGAGCCGUCCUUGAAAUACCACCCUUUAAUGGCUGGUGUUCUAACGUAGACCCGUAAUCCGGGUUGCGGACAGUGUCUGGUGGGUAGUUUGACUGGGGCGGUCUCCUCCCAAAGAGUAACGGAGGAGCACGAAGGUUAGCUAAUCCUGGUCGGACAUCAGGAGGUUAGUGCAAUGGCAUAAGCUAGCUUGACUGCGAGAGUGACGGCUCGAGCAGGUGCGAAAGCAGGUCAUAGUGAUCCGGUGGUUCUGAAUGGAAGGGCCAUCGCUCAACGGAUAAAAGGUACUCCGGGGAUAACAGGCUGAUACCGCCCAAGAGUUCAUAUCGACGGCGGUGUUUGGCACCUCGAUGUCGGCUCAUCACAUCCUGGGGCUGAAGUAGGUCCCAAGGGUAUGGCUGUUCGCCAUUUAAAGUGGUACGCGAGCUGGGUUUAGAACGUCGUGAGACAGUUCGGUCCCUAUCUGCCGUGGGCGCUGGAGAAUUGAGGGGGGCUGCUCCUAGUACGAGAGGACCGGAGUGGACGCAUCACUGGUGUUCGGGUUGUCAUGCCAAUGGCACUGCCCGGUAGCUAAAUGCGGAAAAGAUAAGUGCUGAAAGCAUCUAAGCACGAAACUUGCCCCGAGAUGAGUUCUCCCUGAGACUUUAAGUCUCCUGAAGGAACGUUGAAGACGACGACGUUGAUAGGUCGGGUGUGUAAGCGCAGCGAUGCGUUGAGCUAACCGAUACUAAUGAACCGUGAGGCUUAACCUU